UUGGGCGUAAGCGCGCGCAGGCGGUUCUUUAAGUCUGAUGUGAAAGCCCCCGGCUCAACCGGGGAGGGUCAUUGGAAACUGGGGAACUUGAGUGCAGAAGAGGAGAGCGGAAUUCCACGUGUAGCGGUGAAAUGCGUAGAGAUGUGGAGGAACACCAGUGGCGAAGGCGGCUCUCUGGUCUGUAACUGACGCUGAGGCGCGAAAGCGUGGGGAGCGAACAGGAUUAGAUACCCUGGUAGUCCACGCCGUAAACGAUGAGUGCUAAGUGUUAGAGGGUUUCCGCCCUUUAGUGCUGCAGCAAACGCAUUAAGCACUCCGCCUGGGGAGUACGGCCGCAAGGCUGAAACUCAAAGGAAUUGACGGGGGCCCGCACAAGCGGUGGAGCAUGUGGUUUAAUUCGAAGCAACGCGAAGAACCUUACCAGGUCUUGACAUCCUCUGACAACCCUAGAGAUAGGGCGUUCCCCUUCGGGGGACAGAGUGACAGGUGGUGCAUGGUUGUCGUCAGCUCGUGUCGUGAGAUGUUGGGUUAAGUCCCGCAACGAGCGCAACCCUUGAUCUUAGUUGCCAGCAUUCAGUUGGGCACUCUAAGGUGACUGCCGGUGACAAACCGGAGGAAGGUGGGGAUGAC
rnacentral:rRNA from 1 species